CAGCGAGUAUUUUAUUAAAAUAUUAAUUUUGGGGAUUAAAGUUGGAGUUUCUUCCUUGCUGA
rnacentral:tRNA from 1 species